rnacentral:rRNA from 1 species
AUAUCAAUAAGCGGAGGAAAAGAAACUAACAAGGAUUCCCCUAGUAACUGCGAGUGAAGCGGGAAAAGCUCAAAUUUAAAAUCUGACAGUUGUUCUGGCUGUCCGAGUUGUAAUCUAGAGAAGUGUUACCCGCGCUGGACCGUGUACAAGUCUCCUGGAAUGGAGCAUCAUAGAGGGUGAGAAUCCCGUCUUUGACAUGGACUACCAGGGCUUUGUGGUGCGCUCUCAAAGAGUCGAGUUGUUUGGGAAUGCAGCUCAAAAUGGGUGGUAAAUGCCAUCUAAAGCUAAAUAUUGGCGAGAGACCGAUAGCGAACAAGUACCGUGAGGGAAAGAUGAAAAGAACUUUGGAAAGAGAGUUAAACAGUAC